ensembl:lncRNA
AGGGCUGCACCUGCAGCAUAUGGAGGUUCCCAGGCUAGGGGGCAAAUCAAUCGGAGCUACAGCUGCCAGCCUACCCCACAACAACAGCAUCACAGGAUCUUAGCUGCAUCUUCGACCUAUACCACAGUUCAGGGCAACACGAGAUCCUUAACCCACUGAGCAAGAGAGGCCAAGGAUUGCACCUGUGUCUUCAUGGAUGCUAGUCGGGUGCAUUAACCACUGAGCCACAAGGGGCACUCCUGCACUAAGCUUUUAAAUGUGAAAGAAUAGUACAAACUGGAACCAUAAUGGCAUUGCCUGAACGGGAGCCAAGGUGAGGUUACUAACCACUCAAUCCAUUCUUUGUCCAAAUCUCAAAAUGGCCUUCUUGACCCCGUGGGCCAACACUUUUCAAGCUUUAAAGUGUCUGUGAAUCACCCGAGGCUCUUGUUAAAAUGCAGGUCCUAUUCUGAUUCUGGGUGGGGUGUGAGGUUCCAUUAAGCUUUCAAGUGAUGCUGAUGGCCCUGGUCAGAGCAUCAAGCUGUAUGCAGCCAGGAGCUCAGUUCCUAAGGCAACACUGUGGGCUCCCUCCUCAGCAGCAAUCUAAUCAACCCAUGGGCUGAGUCAUGCUUGAGCCAGCCUGGUCCUGGGAACUGAAGUCCUCUCUGCUGGACACUGGCAUAGCGGGGGCACAAGUUCCAACUUAGGCCAAUGAUUUUGAAGGAGAAGUUAGCUGGACCACCUGUGAUGAAAAACCUGUUUUCCCUCCUACCUUGCCUCCCAUUGCAACCUCUGCCUUAUGAGUCUGGGCUACAGGAGGCCAAGGGAGCCAUCUGGGAGCCACAAGGUUACAAGGAUGGGGGUAAAAGGGCACACACAGAAGACCACAGAGGGAAAGCAGGAAAAAAAGCCAAGAUCAGGGACGCUGCAGCAUAGGCCAUAUGGCUCUCAAAGCCUCACGUAUGUACUGUUUGGCCCCUUUCAAUAGAACUUUGCUGACCUCUGGCCUAGAUCAUUAAGUCACUUCCUCAUACACUUCCCCGUUCCAACCUCCAUUUCACCUUUGUAACACGUCCAGUGUGAGUAAUUACCUCUUCAAUAGCUGUCUUUGCCAGCUGGACAGUGAACUCUGUAGCUAGCUCAUUUGCUACUAGCUGCCAGCUCUGAGCACAGUAUCAGGCACAUAGGAGCUGCUCCAUUCAUUGUGCAAUUUGUCGUUAAGCUCAGACUUUUAAUCAAGAUAUUUCUAAGUUUCCGUUCCUUUCUCUGGCUCUUCAAUAGGGUGUUUGGAAUAUGCUGAAAAUGACAGUUCUUAAUAUAAACUCCUAUUAAUAACUAUAACCUGCUUUUCAUCCUCCACCAAACCACUUCCUUCCUCUGAGAUUGCUCACAGGCACGACAGAAUGGAGUUUCCAAAUCUGGACUCACCAUAUCCAGAAGCAGCAAGUCCUGGGGCCUGGAAGUCCAGGUCAGUAUUUGCAUGACCGCCAGACCCUUGGCAAACAGCGGGAUGGCCAGGCUGCUUUCCGGCCAACCCAAGCCCACAGCAGAGAGAAUACACAAUAGUGGGCAGCCUUUUGUGAGCCCAAGAGGAAACAUAAAUUUUGAAGAAAGGAAGAAAAGGAAAAAGAAAUAGGAGAUCCCAGGAUGAUAAAAGCCCCAACUUCCUAGAGCAAAAGAGCUACUACAGGAUAUCUUAAAGAGAACAUCUAACCAUUAUUAUAAAAUUGUCUUGUAGCAAAAUAGCAUGAUGGAAAUGGAUGCUUACUAGGUAUUUUCAAAGAUGAGUAGUUUCCUUGAUAAAAUUAGCAGUUGAAACAUUCUACUAUAUUUUUUAGCAUAAUAGCACAAUGAUGAAAAAAAAUCGUGCUGUGCACUUAGAACUUGGCAUCAGGGCAAAUUAUUUGGUCUUGCUUCUCUAGUCUGUAAAACAGACAUAAGAGGAAUACGUCUCUUGCACAUUUGUGAGGUAAAUACUUACUAGACGGUAAGAUGAUUGUUGCUAUUUCAUUUUUAAAGCAAAAAUAGAAUCAAAUACAUUACCUACCAGCUUUGUCUUUGUAAAAUUUUAUUGCCUUUCCCCACACACUACUGACACCAAAUACUUUUGUUUUCCAUAAUUUACCAAAAAGGAACCUCCCCAUGUCAUAUUAUGUACCUAUGACUGAAAAGUUAUUAAAAAUAAUACAUAGCUGAUCAUUAAAACCUAUGGCAGGCUAUGUCUCAAUAUUCCUCCUCAUAGAAAUAUGUAACAGACAGUUUCAAUAUGAAGUCUCACCUUUUGGGAAAAGCCUGGUGAAUUCACUCAGCAAGUAACGAAAUGCACAGGAAGAGCAAGUAUCAUGUAUCUCUAAGCCCACUCUUAGGACCAUUCUAAAGCCAUUACUUAUCAUCAUGCAGCUCAGGGUCACAACCUACACACCUGCAAAAUAAAGCUUAGUUCUUUGAUGUUUGGGGAAGGGACACACAGAAUUGAAGGGCUCAAAUUUAUGGAAAAAACUGAGCUGAUGUGUCGGCAUUAAUAACUAAAUACAUUUAAUCAGAUCUUAGUAAGCUCUAGGCACUGGGAAAACAACAGGAUUCAAAGGAUGAACCUUCAAAGGAAGAAUAUGACAACAAUGGCUGGUGGGAUGAUUUUUCUGAUGGCAAUUAAAGGAAGUGGGGAGAGAGGCAUGGAACAUGACAGAGGAACUAUCUUUGAGGGGCUUUAUUGGUAGACCUCUCAGGGAAGGUGAAGUUUGAACAGAGACCAGAACUGAGCUAAAGAGUAAAUUAUAUGCCCUGGAAGUGGAAGUCCCCAUGGAGGGUGGAGAGGGAAAUACACUCCAGACAGGAAAUGGUAAGUGCAGGCUACUAAACCUGUUCCAAAGACCAGUUCCUCUCGGGUUCCACAGAAAUAAUACACACACACUCACAACAGGAGUGCCCAAUGGUUUCUACCCUCUAAUCCCUCUACUGUUGCCAGUUUUCUUUUUGGUCCCCCCCUUAGAGACCAGCUAUCCCUUGAAGGUGGAAAGCCUGCUUGUCCAGUGGUUUAGCACAAACUCAUCCAUAAAAUGUUUGUGGAAUGCCUCAGCAAAUCUCCCACAGGACAGUAAUCGAGGAGAGGAAUGUUUUCAAGAAUUCUUUGUAAAAUAACUUUUGCCCAGGAAUCCAGUCCAUGAAGGUGAUUCUAGACACUGUAGCUGAGGAGCAGUAAGCAUGUUUCUUGAGAAAAGGAUCCCAGGGGCAGAUAACAUGCACCCUAGUAUGUCGGCUAAGUAAAAGUAGCAUUUGAGAAAGAGCUUCCUUUAUUCUAAGUCCAUGCUUGAUACAAUUAAAAAUACUGAAUGCUUCAUGUAUCAUGUUAAUCAUACAGAGGCUGGAGAAUCUCAAGUGACACAUACAGAUGUUAAGAUGUGGAUUAAUUAAACUCAAUAUGCAUAGACUCUGCUUGUUGCUUUUUAUGAAGACUUUAUGGAAGGGAACCAAUUUUCUGACCUGUCUGUUCAGAAUCCACUAAAAACCUCAGUAGGAGGUAUUACAUCCCAAUGUGCCAUUUUCCUUUCCAGAUCUGCUUCUACCGACCUCCAUAAAACCUGUGUACCCUCUUAUUCCUUUAUAACGGAGAAGGGGGAAGGGAAGGGAAGGGAAACAGGGAGGGAGGGAAAGUUGGAAGGAAGAAAGGAGGACGAAUAGAAAAGAGCGAGAAGAUGAAAAUCAACCCUUGGGAUUUCUAUUGUAACAAGAACCUCAGUUUGCUGCAAUCUAAAAUUGUCUAUUGUAGGCCAAGAUUCGUGGGGCCCAAUGAAAGAAAAGAAAGUUUUUGUUUGUGUUGAAGGGGGGUGUGAGGUGGGGGGCGCUUACAAUUGAACAGGAGAAACCAAAGAAAAUCAUAUUUCACCAAAUCUAAGACGUCAUCAAUUCAAA